AGAUAAAAUGACAGUACUAAUUGAAUGCAACAUUCUGUCAGCAAAAUGGUCUUCACGUGCACUACCAACACAUUAGUACACUGCCCCUUCCUUGUCCAAAGUGAAACCCACUGCUCAGCCCAUUCUUCUUCUUCUUUCUCCUCCUCGUCCUCUUGCUCCAUGAGAAACAGGCAACAGCUGGGGGUUGCUUCUGUCCUGACUCCUGUCUCCUUCCCACCCACCGUCAGUGCUCAGUGCAGAAGGAGAAACAGAGAAGGACCUAGAGAAGAAUCGGACCUGAGCUGAGCUGAGCUGAGCUGAGCAGAGCGGAGGAAGCAGAUCAGAUUCUCGGAGAACAGAUAGAGAGAGAGAGAUGUGUUAUGUGGGGAAAGCGACAAAGAUCUUCAUCUUCAUAGUGACAGUGCUGGUGGUUCUUGGCCUCGUCUUGGGCCUGGGCCCCCUCCGCCACUCCCUCACCUCCCACAAUUCCCACACCCACCACCAAUGUUCCGACUCCGCUUGCCAGCCCCCGCCCUCCUCCUCCUCCUCCCCCAUUGUCUUCCCUAACCCCACCGGCACCAACCCCCCGCCCACCACCAACCUCAGCCCGCCCAGUUCCAACCCCUCCCCUCCUUACGUCGCCACCAACCCGCCUCCCACCCCCACCGCCCCUUACCCUCCGACCACCAGCCCCAGCCCUCCAGUCUCUAUCCCCGGCGCACCUCCGCCGCCGCUGCUUCCAUCCCCGCCGCCCCCGGACUUGUUAUCUCCUCCGCCGCCGCCAGCUCAGGCCUCCGCAGCUCCGCCGAACAUCAGCCCACCGAGUCCAGUGCCCCCAACCACUCCAGGUCCCACACAGUCUUAGCUGCUGCCCAUGCACGACCAAUAAAAUUAAGGUGGGGGACGAUCAUGUUGAUUAGCUGCUGUUCUGUUCUCUUGGGGACUGUCUGCAUUGGAUCCUCUUUGAUCUUAACUCUCACUUUCCAAGGUUAAAUUCGUCCCCUUUCAUGGCAGAAUUGACCAUUUCUGUCGAUUUUCCUGGUUAGUGACAGUGAUUACUUGUUGGCCCGGACGAUUUCAACGGAAUUUGUGGGUUCCCUAGUCGUACUGUUUUAAUGAUUCUUGGGUCAAUUAUUUCUUUGCCUGCAAUAAUUCUUGGACCAUGCACUUUCACCGUAUAAGCCGAUCCAGCCGGAGUAAAAGUUGGGCGGCCGAGGUAGAAUUCAAUCAUUUCUGAGCUGAUAAGUUAGGAGAGUAGGGUCAGCUAUGUUAGUGAAAUUGUUGGAGGGACCACUCCACAGUUUGAUGGUGAAACAAAUACCAUAUUGGUUUUGGGAGGCAAACGACAACUGGCAGACGUGGAUAAUAAUUCAGUGGAGUCUACUGCAGUGAUAAGGAACUGCGGAGGAUCCCGAUCCGGGGAAACUGUGUAUGAUCCCGAUGGAACGAACUCACUCGACUGAUCGAAUAACCUGGAGAAUUAUGCAGUGUGUUCUGCGGUCCUUUCUUCUGGGUUGAGAAUCCAACGCAAAGGACAGAGCAGACCAUCCUAGUACAAGAACAGGACAGGACUAGUGAGACUCCCGUGCUUAACUCCCAAUCAUCUCCCGAAGUUAUCAGUUCAGCUGUGUAGUCUGACCUGUGGCUGGCCAUGGGAUCAUGGGGGAGUUGCUGCUGCGUCGGCUUCUGCCCAUCACAGACCGCAGGAUGAAACUAGCGUCGAUUAAUAUACUCGGGCACCGCAUAUGCAGUUGGCAUUGCAUGAUGGAGGGAUGAUUCUCUGUCUCAUCAGGUUAUGGUUUGUUUUCCUAAUUCCUUAAAGAAAGGCUUUCCAUUGCAUCGAUCGAGUGAAAGAUCCCGAUUCGAUUACUUCUGGAGAGCCGGAACAUGGUAAGGGUAAAUCACAGCAGUUUACGACUUGUAGUGUGCAUGUCGCUAUGUUAUGCCGCCAAAUUUAGGUUGAUGCAAGAAGAUAAUUGUUCAACUCUGAUCACUAUUUCCAUAGUUUUCUUGAGAAGAUUUUCUGCGCUGAUUUGGUUGGCGACGUUUUUAUAUUCAUAGAGUCGUAAAACUACAAGAAAAUGGAGAUCGGUGUUGAAGGAGAGAGAGACUUGAAGCUCAAGGGAGAUCAGAAAUUGUGAUGGGUGAAUGGUUUUAUUGCUGAUGGAUGUCUUGGAGAAUGCUCAUAGAAAGAAUUUUGUUCUUCAUUACACAAUAGGAACCGGAAAAUUCACUUGCAACUUUCAGAUAAGGUUUCCAGAACGGUGUCCCCAAAAAGGCUAAGGCUGAUCAUAUGAAAGACUUUCGUCCUAUUUCUUGUUGCAAUGUUGUUUAUAAAUGUAUUACCAAAGUUAAUGCCAACAUGCUGCUCAAGAUUGUGCUUCCAAACUUAAUGAGCUUGAACCAGACAGUUUUCGUACAGGGAAGGAGGAUCUCUGACAACGUUUAACUUGCACAUGAACUUGUUAGAAAUUAUCACAAACAUGGUGUGUCCCUUAGGAGUGCCAUCAAGGUUGAUCUCAUGAAAGCGUUUGAUUCCGUUAAUUGGGAGUUCAUACUGAAUUGUCUGGAAGCUUUGUGUUUCCCAAGCAAAUUCAUUGACUGGAUCAAGGGAUUCAUAACAACUCCUUUUUAUUCUGUAGCUAUUAAUGGUUCUUUGGCAGGCUAUUUUCCUAGCAAGGGAGGAGUAAGACGAAGUGAUCCACUUUUGCCAUAUCUAUUUGUUAUAGCAAUGGAGGCUUUCUCAAAAAGCAUUGACGCUGCAGCAGUAGAUGGCAGAUUGGGAUAUCACCCGAGAUAUAAGUCUAUGAAGUUGACUCACCUUUGAUUUGCGGAUGACUUGUUCAUAUUUACAAUGGUACCUAGGAUUCUAUAUUAACUGUUUUGAAGAUCUUGCAUGAAUUUUUCUAUGGUCUGGACUAAAACUCAAUCCGGAGAAGUUAGCGCUUUUCAUGGGAGAGCUUAGAUAGAUUAGAAUUCAGAGUUACAGUGGAUAUUCUCUCUCAAAGGCAAGAAGAUAGACACUAUUUGCUUGAAGCUGUUGUGGACUUAUGUCAUAUAUUGGAUAUUGCGUGAGCGUAAUGGAAGAUUUUAUAUAAAGAAGGCUCUGUCUCUUUCAACACUUGAGCAGCAGAUCCUUGCUGAUGUGAGGGCAAGAGUAUUGACUCUUCCCAAUGUUUCUUUGAGGCUUAUAUAUUCGAUAUUGGCAGGUCGUUUAGACCUGCACCUGA